GACGAACGCUGGCGGCGUGCCUAAUACAUGCAAGUCGAGCGCAGGAAGUCAUCCGAACCCUUCGGGGGGACGUUGACGGACUGAGCGGCGGACGGGUGAGUAACACGUAAAGAACCUGCCCUCAGGUCUGGGAUAACCACGAGAAAUCGGGGCUAAUACCGGAUGGGUCAUCGGACCGCAUGGUCCGAGGAUGAAAGGCGCUCCGGCGUCGCCUGGGGAUGGCUUUGCGGUGCAUUAGCUAGUUGGUGGGGUAAUGGCCCACCAAGGCGACGAUGCAUAGCCGACCUGAGAGGGUGAUCGGCCACACUGGGACUGAGACACGGCCCAGACUCCUACGGGAGGCAGCAGUAGGGAAUCUUCCACAAUGGACGAAAGUCUGAUGGGGCAACGCCGCGUGAACGAUGAAGGCCCUCGGGUCGUAAAGUUCUGUUGUAAGGGAAGAACAAGUGCCGCAGGCAAUGGCGGCACCUUGACGGUACCUUGCGAGAAAGCCACGGCUAACUACGUG
rnacentral:rRNA from 1 species